CGGAAACCAGGCAGAAGAUGCCCACCGCGUCCUGGAACGAGGCACAUGAACCCUAACAGCCAAGAGGACCGGCAGGCUCGCCGCCGCAGCCACAAGCCCUCCCGCCUCAGCCCGUAUCUCCUCUUUGGGGAGCAGAUGGCUCAGCUCCCUGAUUCAUCCCGUACAAGUACAGGCCUUGGCUGAGGAAGCAGCAGGGCUAUAUGGCCCAUGGAGAGUGAGGAUGACCUGAGAGUGAACUAAAGAUCUUGACUGCUAGAUGACCUCCCUAAAAUGUACAUUCAUAUAUCUUUCUAAUGUUCAGCAGUAUUUUGGAUAUUUAGUCAGUCAUGGUGUUCUAGUUGACGGGAUUUUGCCUCUGUAAUGCCUGACGUGACACUGGUGGUUCAUCAGCAAAACUGUAGCAAAGAGAACACCCUCUAGUUGCUAAUAUAUAGGAAAUUUUACGCUCAGUAAAAGCUGCCCUUAGGCUGCCCCUACGCUUGUCAGCAGAAGCAAAGUAAAGCCACCCUCUGCCCAAUUUGUUGUCCACCCUGGGGAGCACAACUGGAGGGACUGUAGGUGCCUAGGAUGCCAGGUACAAGACACACCUUGCCAGGGCCAGAUGUGUCUGGAUACCCACUUAUCUUCAGAGCUUCCAUCAAAACCCUCCAGAAUAAAAGAGCAGGUGCCCCAAAACUUGUGAAAAUACCAUCAAGAAAGUAUCUGGUGAGAGAAGACUGUUGAAAGAUGAGAAGAAUGGAGAGUCACCCUCUCAAACAAGAUGGCUGCCAGCAAGGGCACUGAGGCCCAGCUGAAAAAAAUUGUUUUUAGUCACUUUUGAAAUUAAAAUCACAGUGUCCAACAAUACUGUUAGAUGCUACUUCAAUUAAUUCUUCUUGGCAACACUACUGGGACAGAUGAAUGAACCUCAAGGGGGAUAUUUGUGGUGGAAGAUGAAGUCCAAGACAUCCCUGCCCAGAUCCAGAAAAGUCUUCAAGACAGAUAUAUGCUCUGUACAAAUGGACUAGCCAAAUCCUGCAGCCCACAAGGAAAGACAAACCCUUAAAGCUUGUCUCCUUGUUCCUUACAAAAAAUGCUCAAAUGUCUGCUGGAUGGCAAGUUUAAUUCAGAAAAAGCUCUGCAACUGACUCCAGUUGCAAAUAUCAUAUACCGAUAUUUACGCAUCUCAAAUUGAUUAUGAAAGGAGAAAAAUACAACUCGGUGAAAAGAAUUCUUUUGGGGAUGCCAUAUUAAAAAUGCAUAUUUUUCCACAAUUUAGCAAAACACAUUAUUGGACUGUAAUCACCCCUUUAAAAAACAGGAAACCUGCCAGGUGGCAAGGACUUAGCUUUUUAAUGAAGUUUCCAGUUCAGCUCUAUUUCCAUAGAACUGUGAAGAGCUGCAUCCCUUCCAAAAGUUACUGAUUUCUAGUCUUUAACUUUCAACGGUUCACCUUCUGCUCACUGGAAACAUGAGACUUGUGUUCUCAGGGAGACAUCAUGAACGAAUUGUCAAGGGAUAGCUCCAGUGGUCAACAGAGUGGAAGAAGACAUCAGCACAGGAUGAUUCACAUCAUCUGUGUGAUCUCCCACUAACCUGUUCCCAUUCUUCAACUGCCUGUACUCUUCCUAUCUCCCCUCCUCCCUUCUUUCUUGCCACUUGUUCUUCCCUCCCACGGUUUCCAUCACCCCACCCUCCCUUUGAUUUAAUCCCUCAUUCUCUAUGUUCCUUCGCUCAGCUUCACGCACCACAUGAAUCCAGACCUCCCAUGCAUGAACCUGGAGUGAAAAGCCUCUAAUAAAGAACCAGUCACUA